UACGUAGGGUCCGAGCGUUGUCCGGAAUUAUUGGGCGUAAAGGGCUCGUAGGCGGUUCGUCACGUCGGGAGUGAAAACUCGGAGCUUAACUCCGAGCCUGCUUCCGAUACGGGCAGACUAGAGGUAGGCAGGGGAGAGCGGAACUCCUGGUGUAGCGGUGGAAUGCGUAGAUAUCAGGAGGAACACCGGUGGCGAAGGCGGUUCUCUGGGCAUUACCUGACGCUGAGGGGCGAAAGUGUGGGGAGCGAACAGG
rnacentral:rRNA from 1 species